GAUGAACGCUGGCGGCGUGCCUAAUACAUGCAAGUCGAGCGAACGGACGAGAAGCUUGCUUCUCUGAUGUUAGCGGCGGACGGGUGAGUAACACGUGGAUAACCUACCUAUAAGACUGGGAUAACUUCGGGAAACCGGAGCUAAUACCGGAUAAUAUUUUGAACCGCAUGGUUCAAAAGUGAAAGACGGUCUUGCGGUCACUUAUAGAUGGAUCCGCGCUGCAUUAGCUAGUUGGUAAGGUAACGGCUUACCAAGGCAACGAUGCAUAGCCGACCUGAGAGGGUGAUCGGCCACACGGGAACUGAGACACGGUCCAGACUCCUACGGGAGGCAGCAGUAGGGAAUCUUCCGCAAUGGGCGAAAGCCUGACGGAGCAACGCCGCGUGAGUGAUGAAGGUCUUCGGAUCGUAAAACUCUGUUAUUAGGGAAGAACAUAUGUGUAAGUAACUGUGCACAUCUUGACGGUACCUAAUCAGAAAGCCACGGCUAACUACGUG
rnacentral:rRNA from 1 species